GUGGAAACGAAAGUAUACCCCACAGGGUGGGAGUAGGCGCCAGCGGCUCCAGAGCACUGGUUAUAGAACGUUCUGGGGUUUAAAUACCCUUUAGAGGUUUCCCAGUAGUUAGUUGGUUUACACCCUAUGUAAAUAAAGGAGUGGCCCACAACCAGUCUAAUGGGUUGUGGAAGGUGACGAGUCAGACUGAAGUGAAGUUACCAAGUAAUACCCUAUGCAGAUGUCUGAUUGGUUGUAGGAAGGGGACCAAUCAGAGGUACUUGCCAUUUCUCAUCUGCGAUGCAGAAAGGGGUGCGGGUUGCAAAGGGAGUAGCCUCUGUUUUUUUGUUACUUAAGCAUGGGAAGUUGGAGUUUUCCUUUUGAUUCAUUUCUAGGAAGUCGGUGCAAACUGGCCCUGCCUCCAGACCCUAUUCUCCAGCAUGAAUUGCAUCUCAUCAAUGUCAUUUUCACUUUUGAUGAUGAAGGCUGAUUACCUUGUAGAGAGAGAAGUCAUAGGGAUGUUAUGUCCAUGGAGCGUGGCCUUAAGUGGACCUAUUUCUUGGGGUCUCCAGAUCUGUUUGGAACUUCAAAAUUAUUCAAGAAAAGGUGUCUCAUCAGCAGAAGACUGAACAGUUUUACCUAAUGGUAUCUUGAGUAGAAAUGUAACCUAGAAGAGUUUAUUGAAAAUCCUCCUGGCUGAUGCUUAUUUCUUGGAAUCCUGAGUCUUACACUUGCUACCUAAUAAAAAGAAGGAAGAUUCUUCUCAGCAAGGUGAGAAAACAGGCUGAGAGAAGUUGGAAGAAACACAGGAGCAGGGAUCCCACAUUAGACAGUCUGAUUCCAGAGAUCAGGACCUUGGCUGCAACACUAUAUGGGCUCUGGGAAAUCCAAGGAAAAGUUCAAAGAAGUGAAAUGUGAUAAAGUUCUUCAUUAUCUCCUUAUUUGUAUGAAGAAAACUUCUCAGGUGCAGUGGCUCAUGCCUGUAAUCCCAGCACUUUGGGAGGCCAAGGCAGACAGAUCACCUGAGGUAAGGAGUUCAAGACCAGCCUGGCCAACAUGGUGAAACCUCGUCUCUACUGAAAAUACAAAAAUUAGCCGGGCAUGAUGGUGCAAGCCUGUAAUCCCAGCUACUUGGGAGACUGAGGCAGGAGAAUCGCUUGAACCUGGGAGAUGGAGGGUGCAGUGAGCCAAGAUGGUGCCAUUGCACUCCAGCCUGGGUGACAGAGCGAGACUCCCAUCUCCAAAAAAAAAGAAAGAAAGAAAAUUUCUCAGUGUUUCCAUUUAUAAAACUAAAAAAUAGAAAUAAAAUUGAUGUUGGCCUCUAUCUUAUUCUAGAAAUAAGUCACACAACACAUGAAACUACUUAAAAAACAAAACAAAAAUUCUGCUCCAUUUAUUUGAUGAGAAGCCACAAAUCCUUAAAAUGUUUUCUCUUUGUGUCAAUUACAUUAUUUAUAAAAUUAUGUUAUAUGUUUAGGUUGUUUUGAUCAAUUGAAUGCCUAUAAGAAGUAAAAUAAUAAGUGUAUCUGAAAGAAAUUUUUAACCUUUAGAGCAGCUCUGUUCAAUAGAAUGUCCUGCAUCAAUACUAACGUUUUCUAUCUGUAUCCACGCAUCAACUACUGACUAGCCACUGUGGCUAUCGGGCUCUUGUGACUAAUAUGGGGAAACUAAGUUUUUAACUUUUUCAUUUUUGUUCAUUUAGAUUUAGAUAGCAACAGGUGCUAGUGGCUACCAUAUUGGGAUAGUGCAGAUUUACAGCCUUAUGAAUACAGAGAAUAAAGCAAAUUUCCAGUUCAUAUGCAUAUUUUUCUUGUAUGUAUACAAAAAAUGUAUGAUAGGGGAAUAAGUAAAAGGUUUAAAGACUACUAUAUUUUUACAUAAAUACCUUAUAUACAUUUAGAUUAAAUCUUGUGUGGUAAUAGGUUGAAAAUCUAGAUUCAAGGGGGAAAAAGAUUUAAAUUUUCCAAAUGUCAGAGUACAUCAUGCUCAUCUAGUAUAUUUUCUAACUGGAUCAUGUGAAUAUUAAAUCUUUAUAGUAUUUAGAUUCUUUGGACACAGUUAAAAGAAUAAUGUAGCAGGCUUUUUUUAAUGUCAAUAUUUAUAAUGUAUAAGGAUUAUAUCCUUAAUGUUCACAUUUCAGUGAUUCCAAGGGACAUAUUUUUCAUUUUAACAUCUGUUAAAUUGGGGUGUAUCUUAUAAAAAUGGUAAGCAUUUAUUUUUUCUUAUCUGUUCAUAAUACUGUGAAAGAAAUAUAUCUUGCAAUCAAUGGACUAUUAGAUUCUAUGGGCUAUGACAUUUAAACUUAAGAUAAAAAUUUUAGAUAUCGACUUGAAAAUGUGUAGGGGUACAUAGUUCCUAAAAAUUCUGCAACUAUGUGAGCAAAAACAUUUGUAGACCAAGGAUGUAGAUCACUUCCUGCUGAAGUUCAGUGUUUUCAUCACAGCUUCUUUGCCUGCACAGAAGAGAGAGUUGCCUAAGCCGGUCGGGAAGGGGUUGGGAAUUGGAGCGUCAUCAUGUAAGAAUGUGGGCAUCUCAAGAGUGUAAGUGCAGAGUGCUCAGCACAGCCUGGUCUCAGGAACUGGAAAAUUCAUCUUCCCAGGACCUCUCAUCAUUUCUUACGGGCCAUAAACUUUCUCCUCUCUGGUUUUCUCUUAUAUCUGUCCCCACUUUCCUGAUUCUCUUAGCAGAAAGCUUUCUCCAUUCAUCCAUCAAGGACCAGAUAAUAGCCUCAGACCUGAGUCUAUGCAACCUUCCAGCUCCACAGCCCACAGCUGGCUGCUCUCAAUUACUCGCUGUUCCCAAACCAAAGAGAGGGUUCUGAUUUUUCCAGCUCAGAUGAGACGUCCACUCCUGAUCUAAACAGUUGGGGCUUGGAUGGAUACACCAUUUAUGUAAUGCAAACAUCGCUGGGGGAGGCGAUUAGUGGGUGGAAGCAGUUCCUGAAGAUGAGAGCUGUGAGUAGGAAGGCAGCCACAAACAUAGCAACGAGGGGCAGCAGUUUCAAUAGCUGACAUCAACAUUGUUCCUACGAUUGCUAGGCACCAUGCUAAUGGCUUCAAAUAGAUUAACUCGUUUAAUCCUCAACACAAACCUAGGAAUGAGGUUUAAUAUCCACAUAUUAGAGAGGAGGAAACUGAGGCACAGAAUGUUUAACUAAUUGCCCAAGGUCAAACAUUUGAUAAGUGUCAGAGCCUGGCUCUGUCAACCUGUCAAGCUAAACUGCCUCAGCAAUUUCCUCUCUUUGUCUAGAGACUUGCUUAUGACAACAGCACUAAGUAUAGAGUAUUCUGUAUCAGUAAAUAGUGCCUAAUAGGGAAAAAUGGUAGCAACCAAAAUUUAUCAUAUGACUAAAAGCCAUAGGAUAUUUUGGAAAUUAGCAGGCAAGGAGAGAGGAACUAUAGCAUUUUUAAUACCUACUUCACUCCUGGCACUUUAUAUGUAUUACAUUUUAUACACACUAUAGUAGAAGUAAGUAUUAAAACCUCAUUUUACUAUUGAAGGAACUGAAGGUCAGAGGAUUGAGUAACUUACCCAUGGUCCCACAGCUAAGAAGCAACAGAGUCAGAGUCCUGACUCAGGGCUGACACCCAGGCCUGCAGAUUUUCCUGUACAUCCCUCUGUCAGAUUAGUGUCAAGUCAAAUAAGGUGACAUGCAAGACAGAGAAUAAUUCAGUCAAUCAUGAAACAAACCAAAAUGAGAGUCAACUUCCUCAAAGCAAAGUCAUUUUUUAAAUUCACUUACAGAUGUGUGCUUGAUUAGUCUGAUUAAAUAUAUAUACUCUCUAUAUCUUUUUGCCUCUACAAGCAUCAAUCUAGCUGUUCCUUAAUUCUGUUACACGUAUUGAAGUUUCUACUGAAACAAGGAAGAGGUUUGUCCAAUUCUUUCCCUAAGACAUGACUGCUGGAUAAAGUUUAUUUUUGCUCUGCCCUUCCUCGUAGCUGGCUCUUUGCCUGUUGAUUUAAAAUGAAUUUUCAGGGGCUCAUAGAACAAGAAGAAUUUUAACUCUUAAAAAUUAACCACAAAGACAGGAACAGAUCUUUUUAAAAUACCUUGUUUAAUAUUGGUACACUGUGAGGGGUUAACAAAUGAGAAGUAGGGUCCUAUUAGUCUCUUAUCAUACUAAGAAACCAUCUUGCCAUACUUAGCUUGGUAGUCAUUGCAGAUAGAAUGUGCCAUCUGUGAAUGGAAUAAGCACAAACCAUUUGAACUACAGGGUACUCCAAAAGCCUUUUUUGAGUUCACUUACAUGUUGUAUUUUUUAUUUGUUCAAUCUUGCAUUCACUCAGCUCAUAAUACACCUGCUCAGCUGUAACUGAGAUGGAGAUAUCUCACCAAUAAAGGCAAGACAGGAAUUCAGAGCACUGGGUUUAAAUGUAAAAUCAAAAAGUAGUGGGGCCCACAUGCGUGAAUGAGCCAGAGGAGAGGUGGCACCUGGCCAGCUGGACUCCCAGUGCAACUGCCUCAGUGGGGAAGCAGCGUGUGCGUGACAGAGUAUACCACGUGCCAGAUGCUAUGCAAGUCUUCACCUGUGUCAUCUCAUUGAGUGUCCCCUUCACAGCAACCCUUUGAGGGAGGACUUCAUAAGCCAUGUGUUCCAGAUGAGGAAACUAAAGCUAAGAGAAGGUAACUAAACUGAUUAAACUGAGGGGUUACACAGCUAGCAAGUUGACUUGGCUAUAAGUCAAAAUCAGUCCUGAAUAACUCCAAAAACCACAUUCCUCCUACUUCACCAUGAGACCUUCCACUGAUACAACCCUCAGGGGCUCGUCAGAGGAAUAAGCAACUAAGAAUUAUUCAUCAAAACUUCCUAGAAGAAUCCCUGCUUAUAGUGUGUUAAAUUGUAUUUCAUUAGCAGAGCUGCAUCUCAUUCCUGGCCUCCCUGCUUCUAUGCCCACACAUCAUUGUGUUUACUCUCUUACUAAGACCCGAUUUCCCAUACAAUAAUAUUCUAGGGCUUACCCUGCAUAGGGGAGGAAAGACAUUGAGGGGACUUGAGACUCACUGAAAGAACUAGGUUUUGUAGGAGAUCAAGAAGGGGCAAGUCAAAGUAAUAGAAGAAAAAUUAACCUGAGAAAGGGGGAGGGAACUUUUUCUUCUGAGAUAUGAAGGAAACAUGAGAAAACAAAUUUAAAGCCAGACUCUGGGAGGUAGAGUGUUCUUAGAAAGGAAUCUCAUAUAAGAGAUAUUAUGUAUGAAAAAACCUUUCAAAAAGAUGCUACACAGACAUAGGAUCUUUGGGCAUCUGCCAAGAGUCAUAAAAGAAAAUCCGGCUCAAGAGAUGAAAGUAAUAUUCUGUAAUAAUGAGAAUACUCACCAUGCUGGGCUCCUGUGCUGUGGAAACACUCAUUCCAAAGUAAUGUUCAUGUGUGGGACACUGAGAUACACCACCCAGACCUCCCUGAAAUAAGAGCUUGUUGUCCCAGCUGCUGGAAGUCUGUCAACAGACAGCCUUCAGCUGCCAUCCCUUCAGGCAAGCUGCCUUGCUCAUGAUCAAGCCCCUCCUGGGCAGCCCAUAUCUAGUGACUAAUAGCUUUGGAGUAAGAAGACCUUGCCAUCUGGCUCAACUCUAGCAAGACCAUUCUAGCUCAAGAGCUCUCAUGAGCUCAGCCAGGCCGUCACUGGGCCUGCACCACAUUUCAACUUCUUCCUCUACCCAGUUCUGCCUUAGUCUCUUCCUGUGGAAUGCAUAGAUCCCAAGGACCCUCCUUAUAAAUAUCCUGCACACUAGAUUCUAUCUCAGAGCCUGCUUCUGCAGCAGCCCAACCUGCAGUAGUACUUUUUAUGAGCAAGGGGCCAAGAGCAAAACAGAAAACUGGUAUCCCCCUAAGUCCAUUCAGACUAUCAUAAGACAGCACAAAAUUGCUCCUUCUCGGGCUUGGGUAACUGUUUAAGCAGGUCUCUGCUAGCUGAGUUAUUACCAAAUCAGCCUGUCAUACUGCAAUAUUCUUCUUUGCAAAGAACUCACAUGAUUUAUUCUUAUUUGUAAAACUUUGUGAGAUUAGGCUGUUUCGUCUUUACACAUAUUCACUUAACAAGAUUUAGUAAACACCUACCCAGGCACUGCACUAAGAACUGAGGGAGUGGAAAUGAAAAAAAGUCCCAGCCAUUACCAGGCUCCCAGAUGAGUAGAGGGCACAAACUCCAAAACACAUGAGACAUACAGUGGAAGCCUGAACACAAUCUUUUGUGAGUCCACAUGAUGGCAUAAUUUGGAGUUUCAGGAUGGCAGAAGAGGAGGCCAGAAUACACAAGCUAUUGCCUUCAUUGCAGGCAUUUGACCAUAGUAAUGAGCAAUACAGACUCUGGAGUGAGACUAUGUGAGUUUGACUCCUGCCUUCAUCAUCUUCUAGUUCUCCCUAGGUAAGCUAUGACAUAGCCUCCCUGGGUCUCGAUUUGCUCCUCUAUGAGGUAGCACUCAUAUUAAUGUAAACCAAAAGUACCUGAGACAGGUCUGAAUCAGUUUAGAAAGUUGAUUUUUGCCAAGGUUAAGGACACACUCAUGACACAUCCUCAGGAGAUCCUGACAUGUGCCCAAGGUGGUGGGGUACAGCUCAGCUUUAUACAUUUUAAGGAGAUAUGAGACAUCAAUCCAUACAUGUAAGAUGUACAUUGGUUCAGUCCAGAAAGGCAGCAUGACUUGAAGUGGGAGCUUCCAGGUCAUAGGUAGAUUAGAUUUUCCAAUUGGCAAUUGGUUGAAAGAGUUAUUAUCAAUAGAAAGGAAUGUCUGGGUACAAUAAGAGGUCAUAGAGACCAGGGUUUUGUCAUACAGAUGAAGCCUCCAGGUAGCAGACUUCAGAGAGAAUAAAUUGUAAAUGUUUCUUAUCAAACUUAGAGUCCGUUCUACCAGUAAUUCCAAAAGGGAGGAGGGUAUAAUGAGGCAUGUCCAGCUCCCCCUUCCCAUCAUAGCCUGAACUUGUUCUUCAGGUUAAUUUUGGAAUGUCCUUGGCCAGGAGGAAGGGUUCAUUCAGAUGGUUGAGGGGCCUUAGAAUUUUAAUUUUGGUUUACAUUAGUCAGCUUGGGCUACCACAACAAUAUACCAUAGACUGAGUGCCUUAAACAGUGAAUAAUUAUAUCUCACUGUUCUGGAGACUGGGAAGUCCAAAAUCAAGGUGAUAGCCAACUUGGUUCCCCGGUGAGAAAUUCUUCUGACUUUCAGAAAUUCUUCUGCCUUUUCCCUGUGUCCUCACAUGGCAGUGACAGGAGAGGGAAGCAAGUUGUCUGGAGCCGCUUCUUAGGGGGGCCCUAAUCCCAUUAUGAGGACCCCACCCUCAUGGCUUUAUCUAAACCCAGUUGCCUCCCCAAAGGCCCAUCCACAAAUACCACUACACUGGGGGUUAAGGCAUCAACAUAUGAUUUCUGCAGGGGUGGGGAGGCACAAUUCAGUCCAUAGCAGCAGGACAAAUAGUGUUUUCCUCACAAGAUUGUUGGGUCUUAAAUGAGCCAGUAUAUAUAGAGUGCCUAGAACAGUGGCUGCCACAUAUUAAAUGCAUUAUUUGUAAGUGCUAGCUGUUAUUAUUAAAGCCACAUAAGCUGAGUCAAAAACUGGGAAAGGUCAAGUGUGUCAAGGCCUCACUUGCUGGGAUGUAUUUCCUUGGGGUCAUAUUGCUUCUCAAUGGAAGGGAGAAAAAUGAGCUUAUUCUUGAGAAUUAAGAAUGGGCCUAUUUUCAUGCAAAUAUUGGCUUGGAGAGCCCCUUUGCAAUCAAUUAUUACUAAGGUGAAAAUCCUGAACCUCUCUACUCUCUGUGCUUUCAUACCUUCCCGCUGCAUUCUCAUCUUUCACUUGUGAUCAAAUGCCUAACAAUCUCAGAAACAUGUCCACUUAGGGGAUUACUCUUGUUAAAGAGUAUUUAGCUUUUAAUCCCACAAGGCACAAGCAGUUUGAAAUAUAAGACAUCAUAGAAAAAGAAGUAUUUAGCAGGGUUAAUCUUGGAGGUGAGAGGUGAAAAGGGGCGAAAUGGAAUCCAAAGGAAACCCAUCUCAAUGAAAAUAUGAGUUUUAAGAGGGGCAAGCAAUGGUUAAUUUUUUCAGCCUAUCAGUAGCUCUAGAAUGGUGUACAAAAAUGUUUUACUCAGCUCCCAUACCUUCUUCAUAGAGAAUACAUUGAACUUCAGCUUAUUUUCUACUGGAGGCACGCUGCUGGAUUAAGUUCUGCAUUCAGGAGUUGUGGCAUUCAUGUCCUUGGUUAAGCAAACGGAGAUUUCAAAAUCCUUUAGGCUGGAAGAACUGGGUCCUUCAUCCCUUUUUUAAAUUCUUAAGUCUCAUUCCUUGCUUGUUUCAUUUAGGCUGCUGAAUUCAUUGGCAAUUGUUGACAACUUGACUGUUUUGAUUGUUUCCAUCUUAGACAUUUCCAUUGCUGUUAGACUAUAAAGUUGACAGCCCAAAUCCUAAAAUACCUGGUUGGCCCGUUCAAUCUAUUUCUUUCCUGCUUAGUCCUCCUUUAGAAGGAAUGAAGCAAGAUGUUGUAAUUAGAAUGGUGAUGAAAAAGUGUGAACAUACACUGUCAAUAGGGGAGUGGAAGGCACAGGUACUCUCAUGCAUUUUUUAAAAUAAGAGCUUUAUCGAGAUAGAAUUCACAUAUCAUAAAUUCAUCCGUUUAAAGUAUAAAAUUCAGUGGGGUUUAGCAUAUUUAUAGAUGUAGGAGCAUCACCACUAUCUGAAUUCAGAACAUUUUCGUCACACCGAAAUGAAAUCCUGCACCCAAUACCACUUACUCUUUAGCUCCUUCCUUCCCCCAACCCCUGGUGACCAUUAAUCGAUUUCUGUAUGGAUUUGCCUAUGCUAGAUAUUUCAUGAUAUAGGAAUCAUAUAUUCUGUGGUCUUUUGUGGCCUUCUUUCACUUAAUAUUCUCAAGGCCUCAUAUAUUCUUGAUAGAGUAUGAAUUGGCUCGAUAUUUGAAGGAAAAUAUGUCAAUAUCAAUCAGAACUUAAAGUACAUGUACUCAGAAAUUUUAUAUCCAGGAAUUAAUCUUUCAGAAAUACUUCCACAGACAUAAAAAUAGUUAUACAAAGACAUUUAGUGCAGCAUUGACAAAGACUGGAAAAACUCUAAAUUCCAUCAGUUAGAGAGGCCUGGUUGAACAGAUUGUGGUUCACCUCUGCAGUGGAGUGCUAUGCAUUCAUGCACAGAUUGAAUCAGUCCUGUAUGGAAUGGCGUGGAAUGAUCUCCAGAAUUUAUUGAUAAGUGAACAUGAGGGAACAAGACAAGGUACAGAGCAGUGUGUGAAGUUCUAUCUAUGUAAAAAUAUGUAUAUGUUAUGUUUACGUGUGUAUAUGUAUUUAUGUGUGUGUGUGUGUGAGUGUGUGUGCGUGUGGAGAGAGAGAGAGAAACGGAGCAAGAAGAAUAUCUAUCUCCGGUAGGAAGUCUAAAAAUGCACUAGCAGUGGUUAUCUUCAGGGAGGGAAAAUGGGGGUCUGGAGACAGGGAGCGGAAGAGAGGAAGGGUAUUGUUUGAAAUUUACUUACCAAGUACACAGAUUCUGAACAUUUUAAAUAGAGAUGUGUAUUAGGCAGCCACAUGGGCAUAUUAGGGUCUGGGGACCACGCAGGAAAACCCACAGCCUCUUUCCUGCAGGGUUUUGUGGUCAGUCACAGUGGAGACUGACACCCCUGUAAAGACAAGUUUCAGUGAAACAUAAAGAUCUGUAAUUUGAAGCUCAAAGAUUUCUGUUCUUAUCUUGCCAGAGGCCUGUUUUCACCUGCACAGCAUUUCUACCUGCCCAUGAAAGGCAGACUUACGCACUUUGAUGUCAAAGACCAACCAGAAAGGUAACUUUAGAGAUGCUCACCCGAACGCCCCCUGUGCACUGCCUCUCUUCAAUGAUCCUGACCUCAUCGUACCUUUUGGGAGUGGCUCUGAGUCUGUGUUUCCACCACUGACUCCUUUGAAGAAGAUCGUCAGCCUUGGGUCUGGAAUGUAGCCCAUUAAUGUUCCCCUUGACCUUUGGUGGAAACGCUGCCAUUUCCUGUCCUGGUUCCUCAUCUUCUCUCAUGUGCCUAAACACUGACCCCAAGUGGGAGAGAAGAUACAGUCAAGUUCUUCGCCUUGACACUGUUCUCUGCAAAGUCAAAGUCACUUUCAGUCUUGAUUUUAACCAGAGCUUAUUUCCUCCCACCAGUGUUGGGAUGAAAGUCAAAGAUGAAGUGAAAGACAGAUUGUGUAACUUUUAUUUUUAAAAGAGUGUUUAAUUUUGGAAGGUAUGAUUAAUAUUUCAAUACUGCUUCUAAUGGCUUCAUUUAUUUUUUUUUCAGCCAAUAAGAAGUGAGAAAUCCUGUCUCCGUAGCCAAAAUCUCAUAUAAUUCCUCCCCAGCAAUACAGAAGUCUCUCUGUUGCUACCUAGAGUAAAAAUGUCAAUACACAUCAUGUAUUAAAAUUCACCUGUAUUUUCUCAACACCUUUUCGAUAUCUUUCCAAAUUGCUUUAGUAAUCUCUGGCAUCAAGAACUGGUAAGAGUAUGUGGCAUUUUCCUUCCUGUUUGAGUAACACCUAUUAAGAGAGGUGGCAAUUAAAAUCAAAUUGUAAUUUUUAAACCUUAAGGGAAGCUAUUGCAGUAUUGCUAAGAACAUUCAGUUACCGGUAUGUUAGCUAACACCUACACCCGCUGCGAUUAGCGAUGAAACAAACUUCUACGGACCUUAAAAAACCAAACGUCUCCUUUAAAAUAAUCAUCCUAUGAGUAAACAGUCCUGUUCACACAUGUAUAUGAGAUGUCAUCCUUUCUUUGCCGUUACAGCGCUCCGCCUUGCCAAUGCUGCUGAGCACUGACUCACUCACAGGGCAUUUGGAAGGUGGGCGAUUUGUUCCUGCAGCAUCAUUGCACUCCAAAUGUGCUGAGAAUGGAUGUAGCCUCCAAUGCUGCCGUGCCAGCAGCAGCUUAGAUCAGAGGGAUCAGCAGAGGCUAUUGUCCAUUCCUCAGCAAUGCACUUGACCUUGAGAGCUAUAUAGAAUGGAAGGAAACCCACUAAAGCCAAAUUCAUGUCCUAAGAUUUAUAUCCUUUUUAGGGAUCCCACCCCUGGAACGUAAUUCAGGUCCAAAUCCUCUUCUUCUCCUUUCCAACUGCCACUGCCUUAGAGUAGUGGACUUAUCUCCACCUGCACAUUUUAGAGUCACUUGGGGCAAGGCAGGGGGCAGACGUUAAAACAUACCAGUGUCAAGGUACCAUCCCAGAGACUCUAAAUUAAUUAGUCUGUGUUGUGCCUGAAAUGAGUACUUUUUAAUACCUCCCUAGGUAUUUCUAAAGUACAGCUAGGACUGGAAACCACUGGAGUCCAGCACAAGCCUUUCUCAUUUCUUUCCUGGUUUAUGGCAAAUGCCUCCUGAAUGCCCUUCAUCUUUUGUGCCUGAGGCUAAUCACCUUUAAUGUGUUAUAAUGAUUGAAUUAUUUUUGUAUUAAUCCAUGUUUGAUGUAGAAAAAUGAGAAAAUAAAAAGCAGAAUGAAAAAAACUACAAUCAGAAAAAUGAUACAAUAUUUUGUCUUUCCUACUGGAUUUUUUAUGUACAUAAAAUAACUAUUUUCAAAAAUGAUAUCCUGCUAUAAUUCUCUGUAACCUUCUAUUCUUUGUUAACAAUAUAUUAUGGGUAAAUUUCCAUGUCAGUAAGUAUAGAUUCAUAUUAUUUUUAAUGGCUACAUAGCGUCUGAGUGGGUGGCAGUGCCUUUGUAUUUUUUAACCAAUCCUUUGUUUCAGGGUUAGGCAUCUACAUUGUUUUGUGGGUUUUUGUUGUUGUUUGUGUUGUUGUGUUUUUUUGUAUUUUGUUUAGCUAUUACAAACAACAUUGAAAUGAGCCAUUUGGAAAAAAAUUUUUUUGUGAGUUGGCCAACUUCCUUAGGAUAUAUUCCUAAAAGUAAAUUUGUUAAAUCAGUAUAUCUAUUAAUUUUUAAGAAUUCUGACAUUUGUUACAAAUUGGUCUUCUAAACCACUCAUAUACAGGUAGUACUUAAGAGUCUGUUCUUCUAGUCCUUCACUAACGCUGGCAUUACUGUAUUCUUUUUAAAUCUUUGUUUAAUCUGGUAAGUAAAGAAUGAUAGCUACCUAUUUUAAUUUGUUUAGAUUACUAGUGAGUUUGAACAUUUUUCAUCUGUUGUUUUUUGGGGGAAACUUUUGAAUAUCUCCUUUUGCAAAUAUCUUAUUUUUGUUCUAUAAGGCAUUUUCUUUUUCUUGUUUGUAUGUAUGAGUCAUUUCUAUAUCAAGGCUAUUGAAUAUCCCCCAAUUUGUCCUUUUUACUUUUUUUAAAACUUUUAUCCUUUUAACUUUAGUGGUUUUGUGGUUUACUUUUAAAUCUUUAUAUAUUCAAAUCUAUCCCUCUUUUCUGUGUGGUUUUAACUUUUCGAUGCCAUAUGUUGAAAGCUUUUCCCCAAGUUAAAAGUAUAUACUUACCUAUGUUUUUUUCUAGUACUUUUAUGGUUUUAUUUUUUAUGUAAUUAAAUCUUUGUGGCUAACUCUUAAAGUACAAAUAUGAUCAUGCCACUCCCUAAGACCUUUGCCGUCUCCCCAUUGUGUAUGUGAUACAGUUCAAGUGUCCUCAUGCCCCACACAUUAUCUGGUCACCCUUUAGCUUGCAUGUCCCUCUCAUCUUUGCUCAUAGAGCUCUUUUUUUCUCUGCAAUACUUUUUUCUCUGCAAUACACUAUGAGUCUUUUUCUCCAUGUAUAAAUAGGCUAUUACUUCAAGUUCCAUGAAAAUAGAGAACAUGACUGCUUUGAUAAUCUCAGCACCCAACAUAGUAUCUGGAAGAAAAUAUAUACUCAAUAUUUGUUAAAAGAAUGAAUAAAACAUUACCUCCCCUGGUAACCUACCUCCAAUGUCUCUGGGCAGAAUCUGUCCUUUUUCUAUUGCAUUCCUAAAACACAUCAUUCUGAUCACUGUUAUCAUAUGAUGUCAUCAUAUUGUAUUAUAAAUCAUUGAAUCUUUGCCUGUAAAUCAGGCUCAGCUCACAUUUUUAUCCCUUGCUCCUUAGCAAGGUUGGGGCAUGCAGUGGGUACUCAAUACAUGCUGUUGAACUCAGAUGAAUGAAUUCUGACGAGGUCUCCCUGUCUUGCAGUACUGCCUUGGCAUGUCCUUGUGUUAAGAAGUAAAGACCUUGACAGUCUGUAAAAAGACAACUAAAUAAUUAGGUGACAAUACAUGUGCCCAGGUAAAAUCUACAGUCAUUAAUAUGGGGUUAAAAUAGUGCACAAUAAAAAUAGUGUCUCAGAGUAAUAGUGAAGCCAUGAUAGUAAUGCCUUCUGGCACCUGCUUCUGGGGCUAUCCAUUAUGUCAUUAAGAAUCAGAGCAUCAAUCUGGCCCAGAGCCCUAUCCCUGAAUAAAUUAAAAUUUUUAAAAAGACCCUCCAGAAUUAGUAGAGAAUAAUAGUAAGCUAACCAACUAACUUUUCUCCAAGAAUGUUGUAGCUAAGCAUUACUACGCUUCCUUUCAACAGGCAGUGAGAAUUGAGUUACUCAUACUGUUCCCCUUGGCUGCCUUUAACUUAGGGGUUUGAUACAGAUUUUUUUCCUAACCUUCAACUUUUUUUCUCCUUUUAAAAUAUUUUUACAGCUUUAUGAUAUGUCUGCCUUUCAUUACAAGCCACCUCAAAUCCCUUUAGACAGUGGAGUUUCUAUUAUAAAUAAUAAUAAAAAAAUUUCCUCUGCCUCAAUUCCCUCUGUCCCAAGUGCUCAAUGCAUGAACAACAUAAACUGAGGCUUUAAGAAAUAGGAUUUCAGCCCUUUGAGAAAGCUGUAUUACAAAUUGGUUCCACUUCAUAGCUUGGAAGAAAAUUGGAGUUUUCUUUGGAUGACAUCAAUGAUCAUAAUCUCUGACAUUUAACUGACCUUGGGCAUGUCAUUUUACCACUUCAAGUUUCAGUUUUCUUAUCUGCAAAGCAACAAUGCGGGUGGGUUCCUUCCCACCCCAGAACUGUAUCUAAUCAUCUUUUCCAGGAAGAUAGGGACAAAAAGACCACCCAGGCAGCACAGGGAAAGGAAUCUCCCCUUCUAUCUGGCCCCGUAACCCUACCUUCUGUCAGUUACUCUGCUGCAGAUAAAGGGUAGGGGAGUCAAUUCCCAGCCACAUACCACCCCAGGGCUGCUCUGCCAUUCAUAGCAGCUCCCCACCAUAAAGAAGCUGGAUGAUGAGCUGACCAAGCGUCCUGACUGGACUGCUGUUUAUGGCAUUGUGCUUUCAUUUGUGUGCCCAAGAGGCGACUAGCAAUAGGUUAACUUGGUGCUCCUACAAAGGAAAGUCUUUUGCUUUUCUUUCUCAACUAUAUCUUAGGUUUUAAUUAAUUAAAUUAAUAUGGGGCUUAAUAGCAGACAUGUUUUGGACCUUGGAGCCUGUUUACCCUCAUCUUACCCAAGGGGCACUGUGGACCCAGGCUAAGACGCUGCCAAAGAGUUUUCUGUGUCUAGGAGACAAAGCACACCCUGUAGCCUUCAGGAGUGCUGGGUUAUCCCAAGCCCACCAAAGAGCCUGCAAAGAGUGUGCUAGCAGGACUGGGAACAUUCGUCUCCUAGCUUUCUCUAAGAAGCAGGCACACUCUCCUCUUCACACUGUGGCCUAGGUCUGAUCAAAGGCGGUAGAGAAGGUAGCUUUCCCUUCCACAUCUGACCAACAAAAGCAGCCCCGGUGGGGGGAGACUGGAAGUGAGUAUCGCAGUGGUUCCUCAGCUUACCUUAUACCUUCCAGAUAAGUCAGUGAUACAUGCCACAGGGCUGACUGUAUUUUGAGGCCCUCCCAUAGCUCCAGAAGCCAGCCCAUUCUAUCAGGCUGUACUCGGGACAAAGGAGGCAGCCCCAGCCCAGGUACUUAAGUAGACACAGCAUUUGGCCUCAAGGUUAAGAGUACAGUCAGUGGUCCUAAACUGCCUUUUUUGUAGCUUGGUUAUGGUAACUUGAGUGCAAUUGUUUAACCUCUCCCUAUCUCAGUUUCUUCAUCAGAGAAAGGGGGCUGCUGUGAUAGUUGGUACGUACGGAGUAUAUGGAACAGUGCCUGGUAGGGAAUAAGUCCCGUAAAAGUUAAUCAUUUUAUAUACAUCAAAUAAGUCUGUUCUACCUCUUUUGUCCCCCCAGACGAAGCUCAUAGAAUGAUUCACAUUGAUAUUCAUGUUUAAGCCUUAAGCCUUUUUUGUUCUUCUAAGACUUCCUUUGGUGGUGUACAUUUUGAUUGUAUCUGCUGGAAUAACAAUGCUGAUGGUUGGUGGGGUUGGGAGGAAGGAUAGAGAGGGAGGGAGAAAUAACAUUAACUGCCUAAGAGAUUUCUCUGAAAGAGCACAUGAAUAUUGAAUGAUGACUUGAUUUUACCAACAAAACCCAUAAUUAUUGCUUUGCAUCAAGGGUGAGGUUGACUUAAAUCAUCAAGACUUGAGAAUGAACUCAUAAUCAGAAAACGUGGACUAUUAAGUUUUGUUUGCUUGCUUGUUUUUGCAUAUAUCUAACCCAAAUCUUGUGUUAUUUCAAAUGGUGCUAUAUUUGCCUAUGCUUGUAAAUUGAAUAACAUCAAUAUGCAAAACUGAUGCAUUUUUCUUUUUAGGGAGAACAUAAUCUCCCAAAGCCACUCCAUUGGUGAUGUGACUUGAUUUUUUUCUGAAUCAAGAAAUUUGGAUAAACUUGGUGAUUCAGAAGGAUUGAUUACUACAGAUAACCCACUUAUGCUUAACUAGGUCUUGAACCAUGAAUGCAUGAACUUUAAUUUGCAAGCCUCUUUCUCCACAGCUAGCCAUGGUUAGAGAGAGAUGUUAUGGAGGAAGGACGAGUAAAACUCCAAGUUAUUAAGGAGGAAAAAGAGGCUGCUUAGUUGAUUAAUCAUUGUAGAAGCCUCCAUCACAUUCAGCCUGGGAGAUUUCAUUCAUUCACACAAACGCCUGCCACUUUCUACACCCAGGAGUUGUAUCAUCCACCAGGCACACUAGAAAUGUGGUUAGUGCUACCAAGGACCUAAUGUUUUAAUCUGGUUUAAUUUUAAUUAAUUUAAAUUCAAAUAGCACAUGUGGCUAGUGGCUACUGUAUUGCACAGUACAGGCAUAAGAACAUUUCUACUCAAAUCUUCAUGAUGAUACGAUGGGCUUUAACAAACCCUUGAUAAUAAAAGGCAAAAGCUGCAAAUGUUAUAGGUCAAUAUUCUCUCCACAAAUCUUUAUUUUUAAGUUUUAAAAAUAUAACCCAAAUGUUUGUGUUCCCUCAACCUCUUCUUCAAGGUCCUAAGAAACAUUGAGGAAAGAGAUAAUCGUAGGAUAGAAUUUUUCUUUUCUUUUCAAGUACCUACAAUUCUCAGAUGUUAGACUGACUUCUUCCAUAACUGACUUUUAAAUCAAAGUAUCCAAAAAUGAAUAUGCAAAUACAUUGUCAAUGAUUUCAAUUCAGGAAGAAGCUGCUCCAAGAUCUCAUUAUUCUGAAUGACAUGGAAGAAUCACGUACACAUUGCCCAUUUCCUAUCUCAUUAUUUUCUGGUGUAGAACUGCAAAUCCCAUUAGCAGAUUUUCCUUCAGCCCCCUGAACAAUCUGUGAGUGACUCACACUUUAGAACAUCUUUGCUGCUGGAUUACUUUGAAAGGCAGAAGUUGGGACGGUGUCAGGGAUAGGCUGAAGAUGAGAGGAAUACCUAACACGUGCCUUGUUUGCAAAUUUUCAUUUCAGUCAUUUAAAAAGUAAUUAAGGAAAGAGGAUCUUGAUAAGAUAGAAUUCAACUCCCCUCUUUUAAUGGAUUCAGGGAAUGAGGAAACAUAAAGAUAAUCCAUCAUCGCAUUACUGCCAUCACCAGAGUUGUCUGUUUCAAAGAGCCUCUUUCCUUCACCAGGAGGACACAGAGCUUCGUGUGCUCAUUUGGGUGUCAAGAAAUAAUAAAAUGAUAAAUCUGCAGACUUGGAAACAGCAGCUCUCAGAUCAGAGCUGAAAAUGUCUGCUCUGUGUUCUGUGGGUCUUUGCUUCUUGUGAGUCCAGACACCUGUCACAAAACUAUGUGGCUGUGGGUGGCCCUAUUUGUAGGAUUUCUAAGCCAUCUGACCCUAGAUAAACCUUGGUGCUUUUUAAGAGCCAGCUUAGGUGCUGGACCAAAUGGUGAAAAAUUGCUUCCUGACUAAUUGAUGAGCCAGGGUGCUUUGAUGUUACAAGUGUGGUUGGAGCCUAAUGCAGCCAUAUCAUGAGGAACACUGUGUCAUCAGCGGGAUGUGGAAAACCACUCCUCAACUGCUUACCAAGAGGCAAACCGUCAAUAAUGAGAUGGUUUGGAAGCUGAGGUUAUGAGUCAUUCAUGUAGAUGCAGGUAGAGGCUGGUCCUAGGCCCCCAGCGACACUGAUAUAAAAGAAUUUAUAAGCAUGUAUUUUAGGACAAUUUUACAAAAUAACAGAAAAUAUCCAUUGAGUCCUUAGUGUGUUUUUCACACAUUAUCUUUAACCUCACCACACCAUUUUUGAUAGGUUCAAGUAUUUUUUUUCUCUUCCCCACAUGAAAGAAGCAUGACUUGGAGAGGUUAAAAUUCCCACCCAAGAUCAUGCAUUUAAAAAGUGAGAAAACCAAUAUUCAAAUUUAGGUCUUUCUGACCCCAGAGCCUGUGAUUUUUCUGUUUCACUAAGGCCAGUUGCAGAGAUAUGCUUGUCUCAGCUGUUUUCCAGUAUGAUGUAUCUGAAGGACAAGAGGAAGAAUUUCAAAAAAGUCUCCAAUUUUCUUGCCUUAGAGCAUCUACCGAAAGAAAAAAAAAAAUGAGAGAGAACCCAAAGUCAAAGAUAAGAGCCCUGGAAGAAUCUGCUCUGAAGAAUGGCCUUGGGGCCAACUCAGUAUUUACUCAAUUCAUAAAGGAACUGAGCUGGAGUCCUCAUUAGUUGGGUGUGUCCUUGGUAAACCAAUUAUUAAACCCUGGUAUGAGGGAUGAAAUGGCUUUGUGUUUAGUUUUUGGCUUUAUCAAUUUCUGAUGACUAUCCACAAAAAUUAUAAAUACAUAAACAUUUUUCUACAGCGAUUCUUCUUUCAGAAAAGUAACCUACAGAUAUACUUGUAUAUGUACUAAAGGAUGAAUGUACAAGGUUGUUCCUUGGAGCGUUUUGUAGUAAAAAAUAGGAAACAACCCAAGUUUUUAUCAAUAGAGAACUGAUUCAAUAAAUUAUAGAACAUCCAUACAAGAGAAUACUAUAAACUAUAAAGAAGAAUGAGAAAGCUUCCUAUAAAAUGAUACAGAAAGAGCUCUAGGAUAUAUAGUUAAUUGAAAAAAGGAAGGUAUUAAACAUUGUUUAUAACAUGGUAACUUUUGUGUAAAAGAAGUAAGAAGAAAAGAAGCUCAUGCUUCCUGAUAGAACAUAAAGAGACUAUGGAAGAAACUAAGAAUAGUGGUUACCAUGGCGCUGGAAAGAAAGAGCAUGGCAGAUGAGGGACAAGGAUGGUAUGGAGUGUUUUACCCGUUUUGGAUUUUCAAACAUGCAAAUAGUAUUCAAGGAAUAAAUCAAAAGAUGAAAAUGACAAGUCCUAUGCUAAAAGAUACAUUCUCUGAGAACAUAUUCACAAUAGGGCUGUGCUUUUUUUCUCUGAUGAAGAACACCAGACUCUUAAGCCAAUGGCCAGGGUCGAAAUGCUUACUUUGCCACUUCCUAACGGUGUUAAAUUUUCUGAGUCUCAGUUUUCUCAUUUUAAAUAAAAAAGAAGAAAUAACAUC
rnacentral:lncRNA from 1 species